GACGAACGCUGGCGGCGUGCUUAACACAUGCAAGUCGAGCGGUAAGGCCCUUUCGGGGGUACGACGAGCGGCGAACGGGUGAGUAACACGUGGGUGACCUGCCCUCAGCUCUGGGAUAAGCCUGGGAAACCGGGUCUAAUACCGGAUAUGACUCCAUGACGCAUGUUGUGGGGUGGAAAGCCUUGUGCGGCUGAGGAUGGGCCCGCGGCCUAUCAGCUUGUUGGUGGGGUGAGGCCUACCAAGGCGACGACGGGUAGCCGGCCUGAGAGGGCGACCGGCCACACUGGGACUGAGACACGGCCCAGACUCCUACGGGAGGCAGCAGUGGGGAAUCUUGCGCAAUGGGCGAAAGCCUGACGCAGCGACGCCGCGUGAGGGAUGACGGCCU
rnacentral:rRNA from 1 species